UACGGGGGAGCAAGCGUUGUUCGGAUUUACUGGGCGUAAAGGGCGCGGUAGGCGGUCAGCACAAGUCAGUUGUGAAAUCUCCGGGCUUAACUCGGAAAGGUCAACUGAAACUGUGCGACUAGAGUGCGGAAGGGGCAACUGGAAUUCUCGGUGUAGCGGUGAAAUGCGUAGAUAUCGAGAGGAACACCUGCGGCGAAGGCGGGUUGCUGGGCUGACACUGACGCUGAUGCGCGAAAGCUAGGGGGAGCGAACGGGG
rnacentral:rRNA from 1 species